rnacentral:other from 1 species
AAUACCCUACUGUGUUCGUGAUUGUGACCACCAGGUCCUGAGCCAACACUUGAAUAUAGGGACCUCUAUUCGCGAUAGCGAUGCGAUAGGCUGCCCUCGGGUUUGCCAAGGCAAAGCAUCGGAGCGGGCCCCGCCUGCGUAUGCAGGUUCAUGACUAGGUUACACACGGCAUGGUGGGGUACUU